UGGUCUAGCGGUUAGAACGCUGGCCUUGUAAUCCUGGGUUCUCGGGUUCGAUUCCCGA
rnacentral:tRNA from 1 species